rnacentral:tRNA from 1 species
AGGCCAGUGGCUCAAUUGGCAGAGCAGCGGAUUCCAAAUCCGCAGGUUGGGGGUUCGAUUCCCUCCUGGCCUGCCA